CAGCCGCCGCGGGAAAACGGGGGGGGCAAGCGUUGUUCGGAAUUAUUGGGCGUAAAGGGUGCGUAGGCGGCUUGACAAGUCUUGUGUGAAAUCUAUGGGCUCAACCCAUAGUCUGCACGGGAAACUGUCGGGCUUGAGAAUGGGAGAGGUGAGUGGAAUUUCCGGUGUAGCGGUGAAAUGCGUAGAUAUCGGAAGGAACACCUGUGGCGAAAGCGGCUCACUGGACCAUUUCUGACGCUGAUGCACGAAAGCUAGGGGAGCAAACAGGAUUAGAUACCCCGGUAGUCCCUGUCUCUUAUAC
rnacentral:rRNA from 1 species